GCGUAUGUAACUCAAUAGGUGGAGUGUUGGCUUGUGGCGCCAAAGGUUGUGGGUUCAAAUCCCAUCAUUCGC
rnacentral:tRNA from 1 species